rnacentral:rRNA from 1 species
GCUUGGGCGUGCCUCCACCCACGCCGGCGUCGGCGGGCGUAUUUCGCCUCACAGUAGGUCGCCGCGACCCGUUGCUUUUGGGGACGUCGAAGGCCCGGACGGAUUGGUACCCUACCGGCUGGGGAUGCGGCUUCGGCUUCUCCUCUUGUCCGGUGGGCGAAACCGCCGGUGUCCUGGCUGCCCUGCGACGGUCGUAGAGACGAGCCCUCCCCUUCGGGGGGGCGGCUCUCGCGGCGUGCAAAAGGUCGGUGAUCCACCCGACCCGUCUUGAAACACGGACCAAGGAGUCUAACAUGUGUGCGAGUCAGUGGGCGCACUAAACCCAGAGGCGUAAUGAAAGUGACACGGGUUCGGCUGUCGCCUCGUGUGGCAGCCGGACUCAGGGCCGAUCCCUCACCGGUUGCCCUCGCUUCUCUCCCGCGUCUCGGUAAGCCGGGUGAGCUAUUUUCCCCGGCCGCUGCUGCGGGGCUCGGGGGGAGGCGGGGUUGCGAUGGUGUCCGUAAAAAAGAGCCUGCUGUUGCAGGGGGGCGCAGGCCCGGGACUUGCCAGGACGCCGCGAGACUGUCACUUUGCUGUGAGGCUCUCGGGCCGAUCAGCGGGUCAUGCGUGCAGUCGGCAAGUACCAUGAGCAGACAUGUUGGGACCCGAAAGAUGGUGAACUAUGCCUGGCCAGGAUGAAGCCAGAGGAAACUCUGGUGGAGGUCCGUAGCGAUUCUGACGUGCAAAUC